rnacentral:rRNA from 1 species
UACAGAGGGUGCGAGCGUUAAUCGGAAUUACUGGGCGUAAAGCGUGCGUAGACGGUUAUUUAAGUCGGGUGUGAAAGCCCCGGGCUCAACCUGGGAAUUGCAUUCGAGACUGAAUAGCUAGGGUACGGUAGAGGGAAGUGGAAUUUCCGGUGUAGCGGUGAAAUGCGUAGAUAUCGGAAGGAACAUCAGUUGCGAAAGCGACUUCCUGGACCAGUACCGACGUUCAGGCACGAAAGCGUGGGGAGCAAACAGG